CCUACGGGUGGCAGCAGUGGGGAAUAUUGCACAAUGGGGGGAACCCUGAUGCAGCGACGCCGCGUGGGUGAAGGAGUAUUUCGGUAUGUAAAGCCCUAUCAGCAGGGAAGAACAAUGACGGUACCUGACUAAGAAGCACCGGCUAAAUACGUGCCAGCAGCCGCGGUCAUACGGAUGGUCCAAGCGUUAUCCGGAUUUACUGGGGGGAAAGGGAGCGCAGGCGGCGCGUUAAGCCUGGUGUGAAAGUCCGCGGCCCAACCGCGGGACCGCAUUGGGAACUGGCGCGCUUGAGUGCCGGAGGGGUAGGCGGAAUGCCUAGUGUAGCGGUGAAAUGCGUAGAUAUUAGGAGGAACACCAGUGGCGAAGGCGGCCUACUGGACGGUGACUGACGCUGAGGCUCGAAAGCGUGGGGAGCAAACAGGAUUAGAUACCCGGGUAGUC
rnacentral:rRNA from 1 species